rnacentral:rRNA from 1 species
UACGUAGGUGGCGAGCGUUAUCCGGAAUGAUUGGGCGUAAAGGGUGCGCAGGCGGUCCUGCAAGUCUGGAGUGAAACGUAUGAGCUCAACUCAUGCAUGGCUCUGGAAACUGGAGGACUGGAGAGCAGGAGAGGGCGGUGGAACUCCAUGUGUAGCGGUAAAAUGCGUAAAUAUAUGUAAGAACACCGGUGGCGAAGGCGGCUUGCUGGGCCUGUACUGACAUUGAGGCACGAAAGCGUGGGGAGCAAACAGG